rnacentral:misc_RNA from 1 species
AAGUCAUAAUAAGAUUUCCGUAAAUAAACUUGCAGAAGAAUCAUUACUAAAAAUUAAGAGAUCAAUCUCAACCCACUCGGUGUUCAGAGGUUCUGGACUCCAAACCAGUCAACCCUUUAUAAACCAAAAAACUUUUUCGCUUCGGCAGCUAAACUUAAUCGUUUAUUAAUCUACCGUUAACACCAACCUUUCAAACUUGUUAUCAAAUAUUGUCUGAUAACCAAAAUUUUCGAAUAAAAAUUAAAACUUUUAAUAAUAAAUCUCUUAGUUCCC